GUACCCAACAAGGAAGUGACGGCUAACUACGUGCCAGCAGCCGCGGUAAAACGUAGGUCACAAGCGUUGUCCGGAAUUACUGGGUGUAAAGGGAGCGCAGGCGGGAAGACAAGUUGGAAGUGAAAUCUAUGGGCUCAACCCAUAAACUGCUUUCAAAACUGUUUUUCUUGAGUAGUGCAGAGGUAGGCGGAAUUCCCGGUGUAGCGGUGGAAUGCGUAGAUAUCGGGAGGAACACCAGUGGCGAAGGCGGCCUACUGGGCACCAACUGACGCUGAGGCUCGAAAGUGUGGGUAGCAAACAGGAUUAGAUACCCUGGUAGUCCACACCGUAAACGAUGAUUACUAGGUGUUGGAGGAUUGACCCCUUCAGUGCCGCAGUUAACACAAUAAGUCAUCCACCUGGGGA
rnacentral:rRNA from 1 species